GUCUCUUCCUUCCUAGGCCUACCUCUGUUGGUGCUUUUGUCUUCCAACCUCCCUAUGUAGUAAGACCAGCCAAGCCCACAUGCCCACUGGGAGCCCUGAAACCAGAUCUGGUUUUCUGUCUUACCUGAACAGGUUCCCAGAACCCACACCAGGCCUCUGAAUCAGUCUCUGAGAAUCUGAUUGAUUUAAAGCCACUUGGUUGCUUCCAUUGCACUACCUGGGUUGCGAUCCCCUCAAUUGAUUUAGUAAAAAGAAAACUUAGCGGCCGGGUGCGGUGGCUCACACCUGUAAUCCCAGCACUUUGGGAGGCUGAGGCGGGUGGAUCACCUGAGGUCGAGAGUUCCAGACCAGCCUGACCAACAUGAAGAAAUCCCGUCUCUACUAAAAAUACAAAAUUAGCCGGGCGUGAUGGCGCAUGCCUGUAAUCCCAGCUACUUGGAGGCUGAGGCAGGAGAAUUGCUUGAACCUGGGAAGCGGAGGUUGUGGUGAGCCGAGAUCAUGCCAUUGCACUCCAGCCUGGACAACAAGAGUGAAACUCCAUCUCAAAAAAAAAAAAAGAAAAGAAAAGAAAAGAAAGAAAACUCAGCUAGGAAUUAGAAACAUCAUUUGUCCUCUUGGCCUGUUCAGCUGGUGACUGUAGAUUUGAUGAAAAGGAAACUUGGGACUCCGGAGGACCAAGAUGGAGCGAGACGGUCAAUACUGAUGGACUUGCAGCUAGCACCAUGGCAGCCCUGCCUGGUCUAAGGAAGCUGGCAGGAGGCGAUGGUACCUGGCGGGGGCAGACUGCCCACCUCCCCACUCCUUCAGAGGACUGUUUCCUGCCCUUCACACCAUCAUCAUGUUGGGCCCUGCAUGUAUGUUCCUGCACUUGGAGCGAGCCCAGGGACACAGGGCAGACACUGGGCUCACAGAUGUUGCUGCAGCUGAGCCAGAAAACAUUCCAGGCAGGAAAAGCAGGUGCACACAUUCACACAGGCCUCUGGUCACUCGACCAGCCAGAAUGAGACGGACUCCUUGACCUGGGAAGUCAAGUCCCAGUGGGAAGGGCUGGAAAUCACACGUGGUCAACUUCUUGGCUCUCUCUGCUCCCCAAACCCUGGCCCUAGGCUUGCUUUAUCAUCACAUCCCAAGGCCAGAGGGCUGCUGCUGUCCCCAUCUUGGCCCUGCUAGAAGAGGGAUAGGGGUGGCUGGCAUGAUGGGUGAGGGGAACAUGAGAAUAUGCAGAGGCCUUGGAGGAAGAGGACUGGCAGUUAUGACAGGAAGGCUCUCUAUACCUGGCUCCCCAGUGUUCUGCCCCUGGCACUGAGCAUGAGGAGCCAGGCUUUGGGGAGACUUUGCAAUCACCCCCCCAACCUGGUCCAUUUUCCACAGGUAGCUUUCUUGAACUCACCUUGACCCCUCCUCAGCCAGCAGCCCCCACCUCCAGGGGCAAAGGAGCUGAAAGACAGUCCUGAACUGGGGGGAGCUGGGAUCACAUCAGCCAGGCCCUGUCCCUCACAGGAAGUGAGAUGAGGUGAUACCAUGGAUGGUGACUAAGGCCCCAAAGUCCCUGCCUCUCUGCCUCCCCAGAAACCUCACAGCCAGGCCAGCCCCCAGAGCAGAGCCUGUGUAAACAUGCCCAGGAGGGGAGGAGGGGUUGCUACAUAUGAGAAACAGUU
rnacentral:lncRNA from 1 species